UUCAGGAAUGAAGUUUUUGGAAGAUUGCCCAGUUCAGCCACUAAUUCCAUUAUAUCUGCUGGUGGGUGGCGUGAUUGGCAGCUUAAAGGUGACUCUCCUGCUGUACGACUCAACCAGGAUGAGGCAGCUGCUUUCCAAGUCUGUUGUGAUUGAUGAUGAUGACGACGAUGAAUAUCCCUGGAGGCAGAACGCUCACAAGUACUACAUCCAUCUAACCCUCAGCCUUUUCCUCUUUCUCUGGUUCAUUCUUGGGAACUACUGGGUUUUUUCUGUGUACCUGCCAAAUUUCAUCCCACCUUUCCAUCAACCUCAGGAUUACUGUGACAAAACCCUGUACAUUUUUGCUGUCGGUGUUCUCAUUAUUAGCCAUACUGUUCUCUUUCUCCUUAUCUUUUGUAGCUGCUGCAUAUAUUGUUUUUCCAGGCAAAGAUACUCCUCUGAGGAAGACUAAAUGCCACAUAAAUAAAGCCCCAGAUGUUUGGGAAAGAGUGUACAACAAAGGACAGGCAAUAAUUCACUCUUGUGUACAUCUUUGUUGUACUAUAUAUAUGUAUGAUAGCAGUCAACUGCAAGAGGAAAUUGUAAAAUACAGUGCCAUCUGGAAAUAGCUAAGCUGGAAUACAGCGUAGUCCGUGUAAAAUUGCUGCUACAGAUGCCAGGGUGCACUCCUGCUAACUUCUACAUCCCUUUUUUAACUCUUGCGUAUUCUGUCUGGAGUAAACUCUUACAGGUGGCAAAUUCUUCUAAAACCAGGUCCCCUAAUGUUUUUUCAACACAGUACAUCUUCACCUAACAAAGUAUCCAUGUCGUCCUCUUCACUGGGACCUGAACAUCUCCGUAGCCUUGCUGAGGUUCGUUACUGUCCCUGCAUGACAGAGCAGGGAGCUGAGACAAAGAGAUAAAGGGCUGUACUGGGACCACUUUGCAUGGCGUGUGGACUUUGACAGUAACUUAGAUGCUCACUAGGGAGCUAUUCAGGCCACUGUUGGAGCACUCAGUAAGUAGCUGUGAUAGCAAUACGAGCAUGUGUGAAAGGCAGCCUGAAUAUGGCCCCCAGGUCUCUUCUGAACUUGGAUUAGAAAGCAUCUAUAUCCAAUUUUGGUGCUAAAACAGUCUGUCUGUAUAUAUCCACACAUAUCCAACACAUCCAGCUGAGCCAUGGCCACUUUGCAAGUCUUUGGCAGAACGAGGAACUGAGCUACUGAGUAUCAGAGCAGUGCUUUAAUCAGGGCUCAGCAUCCCCCAACCUGGGGAGACUCCUCCCACUUUUUGUAUGGCAGUAAUUUGUCAGUACCACACCAACACAGAGAUGGUUAAUCAAUGAUUGUGAUCGAGUUUAUAGAAAACCUGAUGAUGUUAUGUUGGUAUUUUAAAUAUAAAAUGAUAACAAGGCAGGGAUGUGAGAAUUUCAGGCAGAUGCAUUCACUACAGCAGCUCUGGUUGUGGUGUGAGUAUACAUUUGAUUUGUUCACCUUGGUGCUGUACAUAUUGACAUCUAUACUUAAUGGACAGAUGUAAUGCAAUCAGCUUUUAAGCCAACAGCAGUGUCAGCUUUAAAAGCACCAGCAUGCACAGAGACAAUUGUUUUGUGACAUGUAAUGGAACAAGUGCAUAACUGGUCCUGGUAGAUUGUUUUUUUAAGUGUUGAUGAAUGCAGUGUAAAAGUG